rnacentral:lncRNA from 1 species
AAGUAUCUGGCGGAGUUAAAGGACCGAUUUCAGUAUUUCGCUUCGUACGAAUUUCAGGGCAUAGAGCGUAAUGACAAUUCUAUCGCCGAUGCAUUGUCGAAAUUGGCUACUACGGAUGCAGAUGUUUUUAACGGAUCAGUUUACUUGGAAGUUCUGCAACAGUCGAGUGUUCAGCAUGAAGCAGUGAUGUGUAUCGAGCGAUCUAACUGCUGGAUGACCCCCUACAUCGAGUAUUUGGCAGAUGGCGUCCUUCAUUCGGAU